AGGGAAAGAAUCGGACGGAGAAGAAUGAAAAAUCAGUUUGUUCUAGCAAAGCGAAAGAAAAUUAAGGAUCACAGUGUUCCGGGUCUUGAAAGUUCGCCCUGGAUUGCUGGUUUGCAUAACUACGGGAAGCUAAGACGUGUGUACCCGUGUGCAGAGGGACCAAACCGGUCUGUGUCAAUCUGAGAGGAAGUGGGGUGUGCGGUGCAUAUGAAGGCUCGGCUUUGAUAUGAAGCAUGAUUUAGUGUGUGCUUUACAAGGAACGCACAAAUCGACAAGCCUGCUGCUGGAGACCCUCCUCAGUAAAUCGCUUCCAGACGGUCUCCCGAGCCGGUAAGUGCGUGGUCUGUAACUGUCAGCCCUUCUGACUCUGCGGAAAAUGCCCGCAAAGAGGACUGCAGCCACCGAACCGGCAGAAGCAGCUUCAUCUCGACCGCUCAUCGCCACCACUAACACCACCAUCACCCCCACCACCACCACACACACGCACACGCACACGCACACGCACACGCACUACGCACGCGCACGCGCGCACAUCCCCCUCGCUGUCAAUCACACGCUCGCGCCAUAAGGUGCAUGCGCGCUGAUGGACUCCGGCCCCUACCGACCCCACGCCCUUUCCGUGCGUCACCCCGCCUGAUGGACCAAUAAGAGGGCGGAUUUGGGGGCCGGGCUACAAGGAAGCAGCCAAUGAGAUCGCGGUUGAAAGUCAAGGAUUGAGAGGGGUAAAUCCUUCCGUGGUCCACGUUCAGCCGACCCCGCGAUGAUUUAUGCGUCCCUUUUAUUAUUUGUAACACUUUGGGAAGUUAUUAAAAGGAAGAUCUACUGCUUCCUCUUUUUAGGGUGGAACUGGA